UACGUAGGGUGCAAGCGUUGUCCGGAAUUAUUGGGCGUAAAGAGCUCGUAGGCGGUUUGUCGCGUCUGCUGUGAAAACUCGGGGCUUAACUCCGGGCCUGCAGUGGGUACGGGCAGACUAGAGUGCGGUAGGGGAGACUGGAAUUCCUGGUGUAGCGGUGAAAUGCGCAGAUAUCGGGAGGAACACCAAUUGCGAAGGCAGCUCGCUGGGACGUCACUGACGCUGAGGCGCGAAAGCCAGGGGAGCGAACGGG
rnacentral:rRNA from 1 species